AGAGUUUGAUCAUGGCUCAGGAUGAACGCUAGCUACAGGCUUAACACAUGCAAGUCGAGGGGAAACGACAUCGAAAGCUUGCUUUUGAUGGGCGUCGACCGGCGCACGGGUGAGUAACGCGUAUCCAACCUGCCCAUCACUUGGGGAUAACCUUGCGAAAGUGAGACUAAUACCCAAUGAUAUCUCUAGAAGACAUCUGAAAGAGAUUAAAGAUUUAUCGGUGAUGGAUGGGGAUGCGUCUGAUUAGCUUGUUGGCGGGGUAACGCCCACAAGGCUACGAUCAGUAGGGGUUCUGAGAGGAAGGUCCCCCANAUUGGAACUGAGACACGGUCCAAACGUCCUACGGGAGCA
rnacentral:rRNA from 1 species